UACGUAGGGUGCGAGCGUUAAUCGGAAUUACUGGGCGUAAAGCGUGCGCAGGCGGUUUUGUAAGACAGGUGUGAAAUCCCCGGGCUUAACCUGGGAACUGCAUUUGUGACUGCAAGGCUAGAGUAUGGCAGAGGGGGGUAGAAUUCCACGUGUAGCAGUGAAAUGCGUAGAUAUGUGGAGGAAUACCGAUGGCGAAGGCAGCCCCCUGGGUCAAUACUGACGCCCAUGCACGAAAGCGUGGGGAGCAAACAGG
rnacentral:rRNA from 1 species